rnacentral:rRNA from 1 species
AAUAGAUACCCAGGUAGUCCACGCCGUAAACGAUGAGUGCUAAGUGUUGGGGGGUUUCCGCCCCUCAGUGCUGCAGCUAACGCAUUAAGCACUCCGCCUGGGGAGUACGGCCGCAAGGCUGAAACUCAAAGGAAUUGACGGGGGCCCGCACAAGCGGUGGAGCAUGUGGUUUAAUUCGAAGCAACGCGAAGAACCUUACCAGGUCUUGACAUCCCGCUGCCCGGUAUAGAGAUAUAUCUUUCCCUUCGGGGACAGCGGUGACAGGUGGUGCAUGGUUGUCGUCAGCUCGUGUCGUGAGAUGUUGGGUUAAGUCCCGCAACGAGCGCAACCCUUGAUCUUAGUUGCCAGCAUUUAGUUGGGCACUCUAAGGUGACUGCCGGUGACAAACCGGAGGAAGGUGGGGAUGACGUCAAAUCAUCAUGCCCCUUAUGACCUGGGCUACACACGUGCUACAAUGGAUGGUACAAAGGGGCUGCAAGACCGCGAGGUUUAGCCAAUCCCAUAAAACCGAUUCUCAGUUCGGAUUGCAGG